UGGUUACUUCGGACUGUCAUCAGAAAAGUUUCCAGUGGCCGACCCUUACCAAGUAUCCCAGUUGGCUAAAUUUAGAUUCCUGCCUUGUGCCCUUCCCUCGAUCUUCUCCAGGAAAAUUCAAUGAAGACCGACAAAAAGAAAAAGGAUGGAAGGCGUGGUGGAUUGUCAUUUAUCUUCAACUCCCGGCCUGUGUCCUUGAUCCUCC